rnacentral:tRNA from 1 species
UCCCCAGUAGCUCAGUGGUAGAGCGAUCGACUGUUAACCGAUAGGUCACUGGUUCGAUUCCAGUCUGGGGAG